CUAACUAGUGCAGUGAACGUUCAAAAUGUGCCUGUUCAGAAGAGCUUGGCCUCCGAUGUUGCUGCUUGCAGCUUUCUCGAGAACUGCUCAUCCAAACAACCUCACACUCGACACUGCGCUUCCUUGGUUCCUGAGCAAUACACCUGCCAUUACACAGUCGCGUCCCCUAGCAAUACUACAGUAUACGUGUCAUUUGGGUGCAAAAGCUCACACAAACAUCGACGGAGGGCGAGCUGUAACCAGCAUGCCGUUCGGCGGAUUAAUAGUUAAUAUUAUGGCAAGCAACGGAUAUUAUGGCGAGCAACAGAGAGCGAGCUGUACCCAGCAAGCCGUUCGGCGGUGUAACAGUCAAUACUGCAGCGAGCGACAGACAUGGAUGUAUUUUAAGAAUUAGAUACUGGACCUCAAGAUGGCACAAGAUUCAUUUCAAUGAGAAUUGCUUGCCUGGUGCAUAUCACAAAAUAGUUUUCUAUCUUCUGGAUUUACUUCUGGGUUAUGCAGCCAACCGAGUAAACACUAUAGUGUUUCUCACAUUGGCCCUGCCCACGAGUUCCCGCUCAGACCAUAGCCUUAACAUUGUGAUGACGUCACAGAUGUUUAAAUUGUUGUCCUGUCUGCCCUGGAAAAUGCUUUUUGGGCUGCAAGGGAAUUCUUUGCUGCAAUACCGCGAGUGGCCACUGGAAAAAAUCUGAAGCAAAGCAGAGCGGUGGUACCGUAUCCAGAUCUUAUUAUACAUCCAUGGUGACGGAGAGAGCGAGAAACGCAGUGCUGACAGUGUGCAGAAAUUCAACCCUUUAAUUUUCCUUUCUACCAGAUGUGCAUUACAUAAGUCCUAGAUUCUUUAUCAUUAAGUGCUAUGCAAGCAUCUCUAUUUUCUUCAGUGACUUUAUCAAUCAUUGCAAACCAAUCGAUGCAUCAUCAAUCACAUCCCCUCACGGACCCAGGAGAGCAAAAGUUGGCCGUAUUGGGAGCAGGCAGAAGAGUGUGGCGGAAACAAUAUAGGGCAUAAUCAGCGAUGACAAAUGGCUUGUGGGAAGGAUGCAGUAAUAAAAAAAAGGAAAAAGGGGACAGGGGACUAGAGAGAGAGAGAGAGAGAGACAGAGAACGAGAGAGAGAGAACGAGAGAGAGUUAAUAAGCUGUGGCCAGGAGGGAAACAAUUCUGCGGCUUCUCUUCACUGCAGAGCUCCUGCUGUGAACUUGGACGUCCAUUGUGGCCCAGUCUGAUGGUGCAGUGCUUUAUCUGUAAGGCUGCAGUUGGUUCCAAGCCUCCCAGUUCAUUCCUAACAAACUGUUGGACAUUUCAUGCUUUCAAAGGAAGCAGAAAUAGUUUUGCUGAAGGGAAAGGGCUUAAUCAACACUUCUGAUGACCACAUUAGAUCUAGAGCAGUGGUUCCCAACCUAUUUUCCUUGAGGCCCAUAUUUUCUGAUGUCCUCAGCAUUAACAUUUAAAAAAAAAAAAAAUCCUUGAACAAAAUCCUAAUUUUUCAACAAGGUGAUUCAGUGUAUUAAAUGAGUAAUUUAUGGUGUUGUUAGAUUGCUGCUGGACCACCCCGUUCAUACAGGUGCUUACCUUUGUGUGCGGCAAUCUAACAUCACCCUAAAUUACUUAUUUAA